UUUAUUAGAGACUGCCCAGAGAGAGUUGAGAAAGAAAAAUUUCUGAGUGUAAAAGCUAGUGGUGCAGACUCGAGAGGAAGAUAUUCGAGAAAAGCUAGAAAUGAAGCAAGCAGCAAGAAUGUAGCCAGAGAUUCAGCAGCUAAAUCUGAAGUAAGGGCUCCAGCUAGAACUUAUGCCAUAAAGGCACGUGAAGAUGCUUCAUCACCCGAUGUGAUUACUGUUUUAACAAGCCGGCUUGAGAAUUGGGAUAGGUCGAAGACUCGUUCACACUAUCCGAAGGCCUAAAUUGGUAAAAUGGCUUGUGUGUUUUGAAUGUGGCAUGUAUGGCAAAAUACUCACUUUGUGUAUAUGAUCUUAUGAUAUGGCUAUGGUUUGGAAAGAAAAGGGUUUGUAAAUGAUUAGCCAUUGGAAUGGCCAAUCUAAGUCAUAUUUGAUGUUAUGUAUGUUUAAAAUGCUAUUUAGUCCAUGAAAAUCCUUAGUAAAGUGAAAUCUGCCAUAAAACAGAAUCUGACAGCAGCAGUGAUGUAAAUUUGAAAAAUCACUAAAAAUGGUAGAAAUGGAAUUAAA